rnacentral:rRNA from 1 species
GAUGAACGCUGGCGGCGUGCCUAAUACAUGCAAGUCGAGCGAACGGACGAGAAGCUUGCUUUUCUGAUGUUAGCGGCGGACGGGUGAGUAACACGUGGAUAACCUACCUAUAAGACUGGGAUAACUUCGGGAAACCGGAGCCAAUACCGGAUAAUAUUUUGAACCGCAUGGUUCAAAAGUGAAAGACGGUCUUGCUGUCCCUUAUAGAUGGAUCCUCGCUGCAUUAGCUAGUUGGUAAGGUAACGGCUUACCAAGGCAACGAUGCAUAGCUGACCUGAGAGGAGGAUCGGCAACACGGGAAUGGAGACACGGUCAAAACUCCUACGGGAGGAAGAAGGGGGGAAUAUGGGACAAGGGGCGAAAGCCUGACGAAGAAAUGCGGGGUGGGUGAAGAAGGUAUUCGGAUCGAAAAGCAUGUUAAGUGGGGAGGAAAGGAAGUAAGUUAAUAGCUGCAUGUUUGGACGGUACCAAAAGAAAAAGCACCGGCUAACUACGUG